rnacentral:rRNA from 1 species
UGAGUACGAGCUGCUACGGCAGCGAAGUGGGUGAUGUCAUGCUUCCAAGAAAAGCCCUAUACCCGUUAAGGCAUGAUGGCCUGUACCCGAAACCGACACAGGUGGGGUGGUAGAGAAUACCGAGGGGCGCGAGGUAACUCUCUCUAAGGAACUCGGCAAAAUGGCCCCGUAACUUCGGGAGAAGGGGUGCCACCGCAAGGUGGUCGCAGUGAAGAGGCCCAGGCGACUGUUUACCAAAAACACAGGUCUCCGCUAAGUCGCAAGACGAUGUAUGGGGGCUGACGCCUGCCCAGUGCCGGAAGGUUAAGGAAGCUGGUCAGCGUAAGCGAAGCUAGCGACUGAAGCCCCGGUGAACGGCGGCCGUAACUAUAACGGUCCUAAGGUAGCGAAAUUCCUUGUCGGGUAAGUUCCGACCCGCACGAAAGGCGUAACGAUCUGGGCGCUGUCUCGGAGAGAGGCUCGGCGAAAUAGAAUUGUCUGUGAAGAUGCGGACUACGUGCACCCGGACAGAAAGACCCUAUGAAGCUUUACUGUAGCUUGGUAUUGUGCUCGGGCUCGGAAUGCGCAGGAUAGGUGGGAGGCUAUGAACCAUUGCUUGUGGGUGAUGGUGAGCCACUGGUGAGAUACCACUCUUUCCGAGCUAGAGUUCUAACAGCCACCCGUUAUCCGGGGGCUGGACAGUAUCAGGUGGGCAGUUUGACUGGGGCGGUCGCCUCCUAAAAGGUAACGGAGGCGCGCAAAGGUUUGCUCAGGCUGGUUGGAAAUCAGCCGACGAGUGUAAAAGCAGAAGCAAGCUUGACUGUGAGACCUACAAGUCGAACAGGGAGGAAACUCGGCUUUAGUGAUCCGACGGUUCUGCGUGGAAGGGCCGUCGCUCAACGGAUAAAAGUUACUCUAAGGAUAACAGGCUGAUCUCCCCCAAGAGUUCACAUCGACGGGGAGGUUUGGCACCUCGAUGUCGGCUCAUCGCAACCUGGGGCUGAAGUCGGUCCCAAGGGUUGGGCUGUUCGCCCAUUAAAGCGGUACGCGAGCUGGGUUCAGAACGUCGUGAGACAGUUCGGUCCAUAUCCGGUGCAUGCGCAGGAAUAUUGAGAGGAUUUCUCCCUAGUACGAGAGGACCGGGAGGAACGCACCUCUGGUGUACCAGUUAUCGUGCCAACGGUAAACGCUGGGUAGCCAUGUGCGGAGAGGAUAACCGCUGAAAGCAUCUAAGUGGGAAGCCCACCUCAAGAUGAGUAUUCCCAUGGGGUAACCCAGUAAGGUCACGGGAAGAACACCCGUUGAUAGGCUCUACGUGGAAGCGCAGUAAUGUGUGAAGCGGAGGAGUACUAAUAGACCGAGGGCUUG